ensembl:snRNA U6 U6 spliceosomal RNA
UUGCCAGCACAUAUACUAAAAUUAGAAAGAUACAGAGAAGAUUAGCAUGGUCCCUGAGCAAGGAUGACAGCAAAUUUGUGAAGCAUUCCAUAUUUUU